rnacentral:rRNA from 1 species
CGCCCUUCCAGAGGGGGACAACAGUUGGAAACGACUGCUAAUACCGCAUACGAUCUAAUCUCGGCAUCGAGGAUGGAUGAAAGGUGGCCUCUAUUUAUAAGCUAUCACUGAAGGAGGGGAUUGCGUCUGAUUAGCUAGUUGGAGGGGUAACGGCCCACCAAGGCGAUGAUCAGUAGCCGGUCUGAGAGGAUGAACGGCCACAUUGGGACUGAGACACGGCCCAG